rnacentral:lncRNA from 1 species
GUUCUACUGCGUCCCGCAGAUUCUACUGGGUCCUGCAGAUUCUACUGCGUCCUGCAGAGUUCUACUGCGUCCCGCAGAGUUCUACCGCGUCCUAAAAUGUUCUACUGCGUCCUGCAGAUUCUACUGCGUCCUGCAGAUUCUACUGCGUCCUGCAGAUUCUACUGCGUCCUGCAGAGUUCUACCGUGUCCUAAAAUGUUCUACUGCGUCCUGCAGAGUUCUACUGCGUCCCGCAGAGUUCUACCGCGUCCUAAAAUGUUCUACUGCGUCCCGCAGAGUUCUACCGCGUCCUGCAGAUUCUACUGCGUCCUGCAGAUUCUACUUCGUCCCGCAGAGUUCUACCGCGUCCUAAAAUGUUCUACUGCGUCCUGCAGAGUUCUACUGCGUCCCGCAGAGUUCUACCGCGUCCCGCAGAUUCUACUGAGUUCUACCGCGUCCCGCAGAGUUCUACCGCAUCCUGCAGAUUCUACAGAGUUCUACCGCAUCCUGCAGAUUCUACUGCGUCCCGCAGAGUUCUACCGUAUCCCGCAGAUUCUACUGCGUCCCGCAGAUUCUACUGCGUCCCGCAGAGUUCUACCGUAUCCCGCAGAUUCUACCGCGUCCCGCAGAGUUCUACCGCGUCCCGCAGAUUCUACUGCGUCCCGCAGAGUUCUACCGCAUCCCGCAGAUUCUACUGCGUCCCGCAGAGUUCUACCACGUCCCGCAGAGUUCUACCGCAUCCCGCAGAUUCUACUGCGUCCCGCAGAGUUCUACCGCAUCCCGCAGAUUCUACCGCGUCCCGCAGAGUUCUACCGCGUCCCGCAGAUUCUACUGCGUCCCGCAGAGUUCUACCGCGUCCCGCAGAGUUCUACCGCGUCCCGCAGAGUUCUACCGCAUCCCGCAGAUUCUACUGCGUCCCGCAGAGUUCUACCGCGUCCCGCAGAGUUCUACCGCGUCCCGCAGAGUUCUACCGCGUCCCGCAGAGUUCUACCGCGUCCCGCAGAGUUCUACCGCAUCCCGCAGAUUCUACUGCGUCCCGCAGAGUUCUACCACGUCCCGCAGAGUUCUACCGCGUCCCGCAGAUUCUACUGAGUUCUACCGCGUCCCGCAGAGUUCUACCGCAUCCCGCAGAUUCUACAGAGUUCUACCGCAUCCUGCAGAUUCUACUGCGUCCCGCAGAGUUCUACCGCAUCCCGCAGAUUCUACCGCGUCCCGCAGAGUUCUACCGCGUCCCGCAGAUUCUACCACGUCAUGCAGAUUCUACCGCGUCCUGCAGAUUCUACUGCGUCCCGCAGAUUCUACUGCGUCCCGCAGAUUCUACCGCGUCCCGCAGAGUUCUACGCGUCCCGCAGAUUCUACCGCGUCCCGCAGAUUCUACCGCGUCCCGCAGAUUCUACCGCGUCCCGCAGAGUUCUACCGCGUCCCGCAGAUUCUACUGCGUCCCGCAGAGUUCUACCGCGUCCCGCAGAUUCUACCGCGUCCCGCAGAUUCUACCGCGUCCCGCAGAGUUCUACCGCGUCCCGCAGAUUCUACCGCGUCCCGCAGAUUCUACCGCGUCCCGCAGAGUUCUAACGCGUCCCGCAGAUUCUACUGCGUCCCGCAGAUUCUACUGCGUCCCGCAGAUUCUACUGCGUCCCGCAGAGUUCUACCGCAUCCCGCAGAGUUCUACCGCGUCCCGCAGAUUCUACUGCGUCCUGCAGAUUCUACGUCAUUUCUGCGUCAUGCAGAUUCCACUGCGUCCUGCAGAUUCUACUGCGUCCUGCAGAUUCUACUGCGUCCUGCAGAUUCUACUGCGUCCCGCAGAUUCCACUGCGUCCUGCAGAUUCUACUGCGUCCUGCAGAGUUCUACUGCGUCCUGCAGAGUUCUACUGCGUCCCGCAGAUUCUACCGCGUCCCACAGAGUUCUACCGCAUCCCGCAGAUUCUACUGCGUUAGAGUUCUACCGCGUCCCGCAGAUUCUACUGCGUCCUGCAGAUUCUACUGCGUCCCGCAGAUUCCACUGCGUCCUGCAGAUUUUACUGCGUCCUGCAGAGUUCUACUGCGUCCUGCAGAGUUCUACUGCGUCCCGCAGAUUCUACCGCGUCCCGCAGAGUUCUACCGCGUCCCGCAGAUUCUACUGAGUUCUACCGCAUCCCGCAGAUUCUACUGCGUCCCGCAGAGUUCUACCGCGUCCCGCAGAGUUCUACCGCGUCCCGCAGAUUCUACUGAGUUCUACCGCAUCCCGCAGAUUCUACUGAGUUCUACCGCGUCCCGCAGAGUUCAACCGCGUCCCGCAGAUUCUACUGAGUUCUACCGCAUCCCGCAGAGUUCUACCGCGUCCCGCAGAUUCUACUGAGUUCUACCGCGUCCCGCAGAGUUCUACCGCGUCCCGCAGAUUCUACUGAGUUCUACCGCAUCCCGCAGAGUUCUACCGCGUCCCGCAGAUUCUACUGAGUUCUACCGCAUCCCGCAGAGUUCUACUGCAUCCCGCAGAUUCUACUGCGUCAUGCAGAUUCUAAUGCGUCAUGCAGAUUCUACCGCGUCCCUCUUUCUGCAGAUUCUACUGCGUCCCGCAGAUUCUACUGCGUCCUGCAGAUUCUACUGCGUCCUGCAGAUUCUACUGCGCCCUGCAGAGUUCUACUGCGUCCUGCAGAUUCUACUGCGUCCUGCAGAUUCUACUGC